rnacentral:rRNA from 1 species
GACGAACUGUCCUAACGUUGUUCGGAAUCACUGGGCUUAAAGGGCGCGUAGGCGGUCCGACAAGUCAGGGGUGAAAUCCUGCAGCUUAACUGCAGAAGUGCCUUUGAUACUGUCGGUCUGGAGGGAGAUAGGGGUGUGCGGAACUUCCAGUGGAGCGGUGGAAUGCGUUGAUAUUGGAAGGAACGCCGGAGGCGAAAGCGGCGCACUGGAUCUCUUCUGACGCUGAGGCGCGAAAGCUAGGGGAGCAAACGGG